rnacentral:pre_miRNA from 33 species
ACUUUCGGUUAUCUAGCUUUAUGAAGACUCCACACCACUCAUACAGCUAGAUAACCAAAGAU